UUGUAUUUUCUGUACAGAAGCUCUCCACCUCAAGCGCUGGAUGUUGGUGUGUGGUGUCCUGGUGAGGCUAGAGGGCAGCGGAGUCCUAUCCUUAACCUUCAGUUUUUGAUUUUCGAAUCGUCAUUGUAGAAAAAAAAAAAAAAUGUUCAUGUGUCUAAGAUAAUCUCAAGUUGAUUGUGACUUCAGUCAGAUACCGAACAGCCUCGAAACAGCGUACCGAAGCGGUGCGACUCACGCCAACCAGCCUGCCAGCCACCGCUCAGCAGUGUGCCGCUUGUGCCGAAUGGUGUGGUUGCGUGUUGAUAUAUUGCUUUCAAGAACACGUAUUUGUCUUCAAGAUGAAAGUCUAUCUGAAGCUAGUAUCCAUCCCUCCAGAAUGUGUGGUGGCAGCGAAGACUUACGUUGGUAGUGAGUUGAGGACCUGAAGAGUCGCGACGCAGCCAGGACCCUAAUGGAGGGAAACAAAGAACAUAAAGGGCAAAGAAACACAGGCAAAACUAAUUCAUAAGCUUCAUCACCAGAACACCAGUCCUUUGUGUUGGAGGCUGUGUUGAAGGCAUGAGAGGCAUCAGUUGUAGCAAUGGGAUUCUGGCGAAGGGGAGGUUGGGCUUCCUUGCGACGGAGUGCUGGCGAGGAACGUGGUGAGGAGUGAGGAGAGUUGCGGGUGUCUAGCACAGUCAAGCCUGGGUGGGGACGGCAGGCUCGCUGCUUGAUGGUUCCAGCAUUCUCAUUUGCAAAUGGCAAAGACUCUGAGUCGGUGCUGGAGGUAGACUGAAAAUAGACAUGGUUUUUGUGAGGAUUCUGCUGGCACAAGAAACCAUUCAUAUUAUCCUUCGUUUUCCUCUACAUAUUUUCUCUAAUGAAGUAUGCAAGGCUGAUUGAUGCAAGUACCUCAUAUGUGAAAGUUGUAUGCCAUAUGAUGUACAAAAAGAAUAAUAUUAGUCAGUGCUUGGUUGAAUUCAAAGGAGCAAGCAACAAAAUUAACUAAAUAUUACAUGGUGAACUGUAUCUUUUAAAUCUGUAAAUAAAGUAUUACAAGUAAA